GACGAACCGUGCGAACGUUGUUCGGAAUCACUGGGCUUAAAGGGCGCGUAGGCGGACUCUCCAGUCGGGAGUGAAAUCGCUCGGCCCAACCGAGCAAGGGCUUCCGAUACUGAGAGUCUCGAGGGAGGUAGGGGUCGAGGGAACUGGUGGUGGAGCGGUGAAAUGCGUAGAUAUCACUAGGAACGCCGGUGGCGAAAGCGCUCGACUGGACCUCUUCUGACGCUGAGGCGCGAAAGCCAGGGGAGCAAACGGG
rnacentral:rRNA from 1 species